GUUUCAGUUCAUUUUAUUGGACUCCUUAUUCAGUAUGAUAUUGGUUGUGGAUUUGUCACAGGUGGUUCUUAUUUUUUAGAGAUUUUUUUCCAUCACUUUACUUUGAGCCUAUCAGUGUCAUUGAAUGGGAGAUCGUUCUCUUGAAGACAGCAUACAAUUGGGUCUUGCUUAUUUAUUCAAUUUUCCACUCUGUGCCUUUUAGGUGGGGUAAGUAGCCUGUUUACAUUCAAACUUAAUAUUGAUAUGC
rnacentral:lncRNA from 1 species